UUUUGGAGAGUUUGAUCUUGGCUCAGGACGAACGCUGGCGGCGUGCCUAAUACAUGCAAGUCGAGCGCGGGAAGCUAACUGAACCCUCCGGGGUGACGUUAGCGGAACGAGCGGCGGACGGGUGAGUAACACGUGGGCAACCUGCCUGUAAGACUGGGAUAACUCCGGGAAACCGGGGCUAAUACCGGAUAACACUUUGAACUGCAUGGUUCGAAGAUGAAAGACGGCUUUUGCUGUCACUUACAGAUGGGCCNGUGGAACGAGCGGCGGACGGGUGAGUAACACGUGGGCAACCUGCCUGUAAGACUGGGAUAACUCCGGGAAACCGGGGCUAAUACCGGAUAACACUUUGAACUGCAUGGUUCGAAGAUGAAAGACGGCUUUUGCUGUCGCUUACAGAUGGGCCCGCGGCGCAUUAGCUAGUUGGUGGGGUAAAAGCCUACCAAGGCCACGAUGCGUAGCCGACCUGAGAGGGUGAUCGGCCACACUGGGACUGAGACACGGCCCAGACUCCUACGGGAGGCAGCAGUAGGGAAUCUUCCGCAAUGGACGAAAGUCUGACGGAGCAACGCCGCGUGAGUGAUGAAGGUUUUCGGAUCGUAA
rnacentral:rRNA from 1 species